GACUGCUAGCCCUGCAGCUAACGGUGUGGAUCGUCCUGCUCAUGGGUGGCAAAGAGGGUAUCUACACUCUUCUGGAAGCCCCUCUGUGGCAUCACUCUUGGGAGUGGGAAAGGAAGUGGUCAAAGUGAGGACACAUACCCUACAGAAAAGAAAAAGAAAAAAAAAAAAAAGCUAAAAAUGAAGUGAAAUAAAAUAAUAGUAAAAAACAAAAAAAUGAUGAAAUCGUGCCUUCGAGGAGCUUUGGAGAAAGGCCCACCAGGGUCUCCUGACUAGGAUGGAAAGGAGAGGAGGCUAAGGAAGUCUUGGGGAGUGGCUAAACCCCAAAAGGUUUCUCCUCCUGGGAUUGGGUACAUAUGCACAUGCAGCUGGCAUGUUUUCUCAAACCACCAAUCUGGGGACUUGAGCCACGCAGUCGGCCGUGUGGGAUCCAACUGCCUCAACCACCAUCCCACCAGUUAACCCCAGAACCAAAUCUCUAAGAAAUGGACAUGGCAUCGAUUCCACCUCAGGAUCAGGAGUAUGCCAGGGUGGUGCAGAAAUGAACAAGACCUACGUUCUACUUUUGCUACGAAUCAGAAUGGGAAGGGCAGCAAUCUUACUGAAGAUCAAUAGCCUCUACUGAACCCUGAGUGGAAAGAGACCGAGUGUGGUAUAAAUGACAUAUUUAGUCUUUUCUCAUCCACAAUACUCCAUUUGGGAUAUAAAGAAACAUUUAAAUAAAGUUUAAAAUAGAAGCCACACCACCAAAACUUGGAGUGGAGGUAUAAAUGCUGUAAGGACUAAGAUGUGGACAGGUAUUAUUGAAUAGAUGUUGUCUUUUAAAGAGAAAUAGGCAAAACA